GAUGAACGCUAGCGAUAGGCCUAACACAUGCAAGUCGAGGGGCAUCACAUGAAGUAGCAAUACGGAUGGUGGCGACCGGCGCACGGGUGAGUAACACGUAUGCAACCUGCCUGUAAGCGGGGGAUAACCCGUUGAAAGACGGACUAAUACCCUAUAACACAGGGGUCCCGCAUGGGAAUAUUUGUUAAAGGACAACCGGUUGAAGAUGGGCAUGCGUUCCAUUAGCUAGUUGGCGGGGUAACGGCCCACCAAGGCAACGAUGGAUAGGGGAACUGAGAGGUUUAUCCCCCACACUGGUACUGAGACACGGACCAGACUCCUACGGGAGGCAGCAGUGAGGAAUAUUGGUCAAUGGACGCAAGUCUGAACCAGCCACGUCGCGUGAAGGAGACGGCCCUACGGGUUGUAAACUUCUUUUAACGGGAAUAAAGUGCCCCACGCGUGGGGUUUUGCAUGUACCGUAUGAAUAAGGAUCGGCUAACUCCGUG
rnacentral:rRNA from 1 species